UGUUAGUGGAAGCGUCUGGAAAGGCGCGCGAUACAGGGUGACAGCCCCGUACACAAAAAUGCACAUGCUGUGAGCUCGAUGAGUAGGGCGGGACACGUGGUAUCCUGUCUGAAUAUGGGGGGACCAUCCUCCAAGGCUAAAUACUCCUGACUGACCGAUAGUGAACCAGUACCGUGAGGGAAAGGCGAAAAGAACCCCGGCGAGGGGAGUGAAAAAGAACCUGAAACCGUGUACGUACAAGCAGUGGGAGCACGCUUAGGCGUGUGACUGCGUACCUUUUGUAUAAUGGGUCAGCGACUUAUAUUCUGUAGCAAGGUUAACCGAAUAGGGGAGCCGAAGGGAAACCGAGUCUUAACUGGGCGUUAAGUUGCAGGGUAUAGACCCGAAACCCGGUGAUCUAGCCAUGGGCAGGUUGAAGGUUGGGUAACACUAACUGGAGGACCGAACCGACUAAUGUUGAAAAAUUAGCGGAUGACUUGUGGCUGGGGGUGAAAGGCCAAUCAAACCGGGAGAUAGCUGGUUCUCCCCGAAAGCUAUUUAGGUAGCGCCUCGUGAAUUCAUCUCCGGGGGUAGAGCACUGUUUCGGCAAGGGGGUCAUCCCGACUUACCAACCCGAUGCAAACUGCGAAUACCGGAGAAUGUUAUCACGGGAGACACACGGCGGGUGCUAACGUCCGUCGUGAAGAGGGAAACAACCCAGACCGCCAGCUAAGGUCCCAAAGUCAUGGUUAAGUGGGAAACGAUGUGGGAAGGCCCAGACAGCCAGGAUGUUGGCUUAGAAGCAGCCAUCAUUUAAAGAAAGCGUAAUAGCUCACUGGUCGAGUCGGCCUGCGCGGAAGAUGUAACGGGGCUAAACCAUGCAC
rnacentral:rRNA from 1 species